GAUGAAGAACGCAGCGAAAUGCGAUAAGUAAUGUGAAUUGCAGAAUUCAGUGAAUCAUCGAAUCUUUGAACGCACAUUGCGCCCAUUAGUAUUCUAGUGGGCAUGCCUGUUCGAGCGUCAUUUCAACCCCUAAGCACAGCUUAUUGUUGGGAACCUACGGCUUCGUAGUUCCUCAAAGACAUUGGCGGAGUGGCAGUGGUCCUCUGAGCGUAGUAAUCUUUUAUCUCGCUUCUGUUAGGUGCUGCCCCCCCGGCCGUAAAACCCCCAAUUUUUUCUGGUUGACCUCGGAUCAGGUAGGAAUACCCGCUGAACUUAAGCAUAUCAAUAAGCGGAGGA
rnacentral:misc_RNA from 1 species